GAGACGACGCGGACCCGAGCCCAGCCGGGAUUCCCCGGCGGUGGGUUGGCCUAGGGGACCCCGAGCCACGUCUCGAAUUGAAUGGGCAGGAGCGCAAGGGCCCUUUCGCGUCACCGUCUGUGAUCGCACCAUCGAGCCCGGGGAUCCAACCUCGAUGUCCACGCUAUGUCGGCUCCCUCCAGCCAGAUUCCUAAUGGGCAGGCGGCAGUGGCGGCGGACAGCAUGGAUAAAAGACCAGACCUUCCCUGAAAAGAAACCAAACUGUGAACGCUUUCCAUAAGCUUUUUUUUUUCUUGCAAAAACACGGGAGCGGACUCCCCUCGCCGGACUCCGACAGAAGGACAAGCCUGGAGCGCCCGGUGUCUGGGAGCUCGUUCUGGGAAUCACUGCGACGUGCGCUGCGCGCUUAAACUCUUACCAUUUAACUUGGUCCUCACAGCUCUGGGGUGAGCACGUUCAUCUCCCACGUGUGGACACGUAUAUGGGGUGAUUAGCAGAGAGCCACACAGCGGAUAGAUUGCAGGUCCAGAGUUCAGCCUCCAACUGUCCUCAGAGCCACUUCAUCCAUCCACUGCCCUGAUCUCUGGGUGGGUGUGUCCUGCACCAGGGCCAGGUCCUAGAUCCCUGUGGCUCAGGGUUGACUCCACGUUCCCUGACCCCUCAUUCUGCCCUGUGGGACUGUUGCCCCCUAAGGGGAGGCGGCCUCCUCAUCUGUGAAACGAAAUAGGUACGCACAACAUGACCUAUUCCGGAGUGAAAAAACUUGAAAACCAAAGUUUUAGAUUAUGGCUUCAGGGAUGAGGGAGAAGAAGGAAAUAGUAUCACUUUAUAGUCAAGGCAAAAGAGUUACUUUUAAAAAUAGCACCGGCAGCACCAGCAGCUACUAAGGCCCAGGCCUGCAUGGGGAGCUGGUAGCCUGGCACCAGAGCCAAGGGUGACAGUGCCAGAGAUGGCUCUGGGCCAGGCCCUGUGAGAACCGCAGCGUUUUGUGGGGUAAGAUGAGGUUGCUGAGACCUGGGACACAGAACCUCUCUGGGGGGGCUUCUCUGGGGCAGGUGCGGUCUGGACAGAGACGGGGUGACAUUCCUGCAUGUGGAACUUUGGUCUCUGGCACCCCAUACUAGCAGGUGACCCCGGAGGUGGGACAAGGCAACAAACGGGCCCAAUGAGUGAAAAGCAGGUGGAGGUCACUUUCCGUGCAGAAGGCUAACGGGCCAAUUUCGCCUUGGCCCCGCACCCGGCUGUGCAGCCCAAACCUCAGACACAGGGUCCACGUAUUCGCAAAUCCAGAAAGGCCGAUCCGGCUGUACCAAAUUAGUAACGACUCUGAGACUGGUUUGUGCAAAUGGUUUUUUUUUUUUUAUUUCCACAUUUAUAUCACAAGUUGUCCACUUACUGGACCAAAUAGCAAAGUUGCUCCCUUCUGUGUCCUGAGAACACAGAAGUCUAGGUACUGUACAUUCACUAAGGCUCCUUGUUUUUGCAAAUCGCGUUUAUGACAAAUAACCAUAAGGCAAACGAAUCUAAAGGAAUGGUUAUGAGUGUUUCCAGCGCACAGACAGGUCUCCUCUUACCCAGCAGUACAGCUUACACACCAGUAGCACCCGCGGUGACUUUUGUGUUUUGGGGGGGAGGGGACUCUGGGAAGGUGAACUUUUCAAGACAUGUGCAGGAAGGGGAAAAUGAAAGGGGAGAAAGAAAGGAAACUUAUUUGGCUGAUGGUCACAUGGAAGAGGGGGAGAAAAUAAACUCCUAGAAAACUUAAA